rnacentral:rRNA from 1 species
GACGAACGCUGGCGGCGGGCUUAACACAUGCAAGUCGAACGGAAAGGCCCUGCUUUUGUGGGGUGCUCGAGUGGCGAACGGGUGAGUAACACGUGAGUAACCUGCCCUUGACUUUGGGAUAACUUCAGGAAACUGGGGCUAAUACCGGAUAGGAGCUCCUGCUGCAUGGUGGGGGUUGGAAAGUUUCGGCGGUUGGGGAUGGACUCGCGGCUUAUCAGCUUGUUGGUGGGGUAGUGGCUUACCAAGGCUUUGACGGGUAGCCGGCCUGAGAGGGUGACCGGCAACAUUGGGACUGAGAUACGGCCCAGACUCCUACGGGAGGCAGCAGUGGGGAAUAUUGCACAAUGGGCGGAAGCCUGAUGCAGCAACGCCGCGUGCGGGAUGACGGCCUUCGGGUUGUAAACCGCUUUCGCCUGUGACGAAGCGUGAGUGACGGUAAUGGGUAAAGAAGCACCGGCUAACUACGUG